UCGUGAGGCGGAGCUAAUCCCUUAAAGCCAUUCUCAGUUCGGAUUGUAGGCUGAAACUCGCCUACAUGAAGCUGGAGUUACUAGUAAUCGCAGAUCAGAAUGCUGCGGUGAAUGCGUUCCCGGGUCUAGUACACACCGCCCGUCACACCACGGAAGUUGGGGGCGCCCGAAGCCACUUAGCUAACCCUUUUGGGAAGCGAGUGUCGAAGGUGAAAUCAAUAACCGGGGUGAAGUCGUAACAAGGUAAC
rnacentral:rRNA from 1 species